GAUCCUGGCUUAGAUUGAACGCUGGCGGCAGGCUUAACACAUGCAAGUCGAACGGUAACAUAAAGAAGCUUGCUUCUUUGAUGACGAGUGGCGGACGGGUGAGUAAUGCUUGGGAAUCUAGCUUAUGGAGGGGGGAUAACUACGGGAAACUGUAGCUAAUACCGCGUAAUAUCGAAAGAUUAAAGUGUGGGACCUUCGGGCCACAUGCCAUAGGAUGAGCCCAAGUGGGAUUAGGUAGUUGGUGAGGUAAAGG
rnacentral:rRNA from 1 species